rnacentral:lncRNA from 1 species
AAACAAACAACAACAACAACAACAACCAAACCACAUGUCAGGCACUGUUUAAAAUGCUUUAUAUGCAUUAAAUCAUAUAAUCUCUCAACAGUUGUCUCAAGUAGGUACUAUUAUUUUCCUGAUUUUACAGAUGAGGAAACCAAAGCAGAGAGGCUAUACAGUAUUAGAUACUGGGCAAAACAUGGAAGCAGAGGGAACUACCCACCCACCUGGGCAUGCCAAAGACCACUAGUUAGGUAUGUUGUGUGGCUGAUUCUUCUACCUAUAACAUAGUUUUGAUUUGGACCUUAAAGAUUGGGCAGUUCCAUUAACUCAUUGCAUUGGAUAGAUUCAGAUAGGCUAUGCUACAGUGACAAGCAUUCCCCAAAUUUCCUAAGUUUGUUUCUUGGUUAUAUAAGCAGGUAGGUGCGGGUAACAAUCCAGGGUGCCUGUUCUCCAUGCAGUGACACACAAUCCAGGCUGCUUCAGUCCAUCUCGAGAGAAGGCCUCUACAUUUAUCAUGGCAGGGAAGGACAGAGGCUGAAGUGUCACAUGGAGGCUUCCACUGACUCAGCCUGGAAGUAACACACCUCACUUGUGCUCACUUUCAUUGGCCAAAGCUAGUCAUUAGUCAUGUGCCCCCACCCAAAGAAGGAGAGGAGAGCUGGGUAUUGAUGAGCACCAGUAAUGUUCACCAUACUCACUCAUUCAGUAAGUAAGUACCUUCCAGGCCAAACAGGCAAUGUGCUAGACUCUGGGUGUUUUAAUCCAUUCAGGCUGCUAUAACAAAAUACCACAGACGAGGUGGCUUAUACACAACAGAAAUUUAUUUCUCCCAGUUCUGGAGGCUGGAUGUCCAAGAUCAAGAUGCCAACAGAUUCAGUGUCUGGUAAGAGCCUACUUCCUGGCUCCUAGACGGUGCCUUCUCACUGUGUCCUCACGUGGUGGAAGGGGCAAAGGUCUCUCUGUGGCUGUUUUUAUAAGGGCACCAAUCCCAUCAUAACAGCCCAAUCCUCAUGACCUCGUCUAAACCUAAUCACCUCCCAAAGGCCCCACCUCCUCAUACCAUCACCUUGGGGGUUAAGUUUUCAGCAUAUGAAUUUUGAGGAAACACAAACAUUCAAAUCAUAGCACUGGGGAUAUAAAGAUAAAACCACAUGAAGCCCUUUCCCAAUCCUUAUUUAUUUUGAACUGAAUCUGUUUUCGCAGAGUGCUACACUGAAUAAUGGCCCCCAAAGACAUCCAUAUCCUAAUCUUUGAAACCUGCGAAUAUGUUACUGCCCAUGGUAAAAGAAAAUUUGCAGACAGGUUAUUAAGGAUCUUGAGAUGAGAAAACUAUCCUGGAUUAUCUGUAUGGGUCCAAGGUACAAAUCCUUAAAAGGAUGCAAGAGGAUCAAAUUAGUAGCAGAAGAUGGGGUGACAGAAGAAAGAGGUUGGAGAGAUGUAAGAAGGGGUCACAAGGCCAGCAACGUGGAUGGCCUCUGGAAGCUGGGUAAAGCAAGGGAAUGGAUUUUCCCCUGAGGUCUCCGGAGAGAACACAGCUCUGCCAACAUCUUGGUUAUAGACUUCUGACCUCUAGAACUCCCGCCUCGGAGGUCUCUCCAGGUAGGCUAAGGUGACUUAGAGGACCGCCAGCCCCUUCUGGUUCCAGAGCUCUUCAGAGAGGUCCAAGGCCAACUGGUUCCUCGAAACUGUGGGUUUACAUCGGGACUGCCCCAUCCUGGGCUCUGCCUGUCAAGAAUGCUGUCCUGGAUUAGGGCACAGGAGAAUGCGUUUUGUCAUUGAUCUGGAGGGAGGGAAGGCAUGUGGAGGAAUCAGCAUCUCAUUUCAAUGUGAGAGAAACUAAUGGAGGGAAGAGAAUUUUUUAAAGCUAGUGAGAACACACAUUCAUUUGACAACUUAGUUAAAAAGGACCGAUUCCUUGAAAAAUACAAAUGACUACAACUCACCCAAUGUGAACUAGAUAAUUUGAGUAUGCCUACAACUGUUAAGGAAAUCGAAUUUGCAAUUUUAAAACUCCCAAAAAAGAAGUCUCCAGAUCCAGAUGGUUUCACUGAAGAAUUCUACCAAAUGUUUAAAGAGGAAUUCACACCAUCUCUCUACAUUCUCUUUCAGAAAAUAGAAGAGGAGGGAACACUUUCCAAUUCAUUUUAUGAAGAUAGUAUUUCCCUGAUAUUAAAACCACAGAUAGG